GGGCAAUUCCGGGGCGGUCGUGUCAUCUUUCUGGGACCUCACUAUAGGAAGAAAAAAAAAGUAAAGCAACCUCGCAGGUAUCUUUGCUGGUUAACAUCAUAGAGUAUGAAGGGUAUCUUGAUGUGAUCCAUUUUAAGCUACAAAGUUUCUUACAGUCAUACUCAAAACUGGCAAAAUACAGGACAUCAUACACAUUUUCAUAUUUUAUUCUAAUGUUUAUUCUGAGGUCAACAAUAUAAAUUAGUUUCUGAGAUGCGCAGAUAAAUUAAAAUUCCAUGCAGGUGACCAUAGACAUACCCCUACUAUGUGUAUCUGUCUAAACUAUAACCGGAGAGGACUACAAUUAAUCCCUUAAGCCCUUUAUCUUCUUUUCGUCUCCUGCUUGGUUCUACGUAAACACCUUUGCUGAACUGGAAGAUCCAACCAACUUAUACGAGCUUCUUGGAUGCGAAUGAAAACCUCGUGAAUUGCCCAGCAAGUUGACAUUCCUUUCUAGAUCCAGCACAUACAACUCUCUCCAGGUGAGCACAAAGAAAGAAGAGAUUUGAAGUCAGCGAGGUGCGUUUUAUUGGUUCAAAAGGGGAGGUUAUUUUUUAAAGGCUUAUGGAAAAAGGUAGCUAUGUUUGUUCUCUCAAAUAAUCACAUAAAGACCCUGCUAACAUUUCUGGUACAACAACCCUGCCGUGGUUAAUUUCCAGACAAUGAAAGGUGAGAAGGCUGGAAAGGAAACCGAAUCCUGCAGUGUCUAAUCAAUUUUAAUAGAAUCCGCUAAUUGAAUCAUCCACAUCCUUUAAAAAGAGACAUGGAAAUCAUGGAAGCAAGCCUCUGUUUUGGUGCAUUCUUCAUCCCUCAUGGCAUGUCAAAAAAAUUGAAUUUCUCACAGUGGAGAAAGAGUCUGUCAAAGUUAACUUUACCUGGAACUAAUAAAUUAUUAUAUUUCAUCCAAAGGGUUUCCAAUAAGUAGUUAUUCAAAGACUCAAUUUUUCAAUUAAUGUCUCCAAAUGCUUUUCUGAUCAUAAUUUUCCUAGUACAUUUUCAUGUUUGCUUCUCACUAUUGUCUUUGUGAGGAGUGUUGGAAAUUCCCAAGCUGGGGCAACCCCCAGGCUUCUCCCUCCAACCCCUCUCUCACUUGGACUCAGGCUUCCCCAGGGAGCAGACUCAGGGCGCACUGAGGGCAGGAGGAGAUGCUGGCAGCCCCUCAGGGUGGAGGCCACCCUGGAACCUUGACCUAGGGAGUCAGUAGUCUGUGGUGUCAGAAGGUGGCAUUAGAUCAGAGGGCUCAGGAAUCCAUAGUCAAG
rnacentral:lncRNA from 1 species